GAUGAACGCUAGCUACAGGCUUAACACAUGCAAGUCGAGGGGAAACGAUGAGAGAGCUUGCUCUCUUAGUCGUCGACCGGCGCACGGGUGAGUAACGCGUAUCCAACCUGCCUCUGACCAAGGUAUAACCCGUCGAAAGUCGGACUAAUACCUUAUGCAGUCGUCGGAAGUCAUCUGAUGACGACGAAAGAUUUCAUCGGUGAGAGAUGGGUAUGCGUCUGAUUAGCUUGUUGGCGGGGUAACGGCCCACCAAGGCGACGAUCAGUAGGGGUUCUGAGAGGAAGGUCCCCCACAGUGGAACUGAGACACGGGCCAAACUCCUACGGGAGGCAGCAGUGAGGAAGAUUGGUGAAUGGGAGUAAGCCUGAACCAGCCAAGUAGCGUGCAGGAUGACGGCCCUAUGGGUUGUAAACUGCUUUUAGGCGGGGAUAAAGUGAGGGACGUGUCCUUCAUUGCAGGUACCGCAUGAAUAAGGACCGGCUAAUUCCGUG
rnacentral:rRNA from 1 species